rnacentral:rRNA from 1 species
GGAUAAGCCAUGCAAGUUGAAUGGGAUACCUAAAUUUUCCAUAGCAAACUGCUCAGUAACACAUGAUCAACUUGCCCUAUGGAGAAAAAUAACCUCGGGAAACUGAGGAUAAUAUUUCAUAGUUGAAUAGGCUUGGAAAAGUUUUUCAAUGAAAAGGAAAAGAUAAAUGGUUCUUUUCUGCCAUAGGAUAGGAUCGUGGUCGAUUAUGGUAGUUGGUGAGGUAAUGGCUCACCAAGCCGAUAAUCGAUAGGGGCCGUGAGAGCGGGAGCCCCGAGAUGGGUACUGAGACACCGACCCAGACCUUACGAGGUGCAGCAGGCGCGAGACCUCCGCAAUACACGAAAGUGUGACGGGGUUACCCAAAGUGUUCAUUUUUGAACUGUGGUAGGUGAGUAAUGUCCCCUACUAGAAAGGAGAGGGCAAGGCUGGUGCCAGCCGCCGCGGUAAAACCAGCUCUUCAAGUGGUCGGGAUGAUUAUUGGGCUUAAAGUGUCCGUAGCCGGUUUAGUAAGUUCCUGGUAAAAUCAGGUAGCUUAACUAUCUGUAUGCUGGGAAUACUACUAUACUAGAGGGCGGGAGAGGUCUGAGGUACUACAGGGGUAGGGGUGAA